rnacentral:rRNA from 1 species
AUUGAACGCUGGCGGCAUGCUUUACACAUGCAAGUCGAACGGCAGCGGGGAGGAGCUUGCUUCUCUGCCGGCGAGUGGCGAACGGGUGAGUAAUACAUCGGAACGUGUCGAGAAGAGGGGGAUAACCACCCGAAAGGGUGGCUAAUACCGCAUAAAUUCUGAGGAAGAAAGCUGGGGACCUAGGAAUAGGCCUAGCGCUUUUUGAGCGGCCGAUGUCGGAUUAGCUAGUUGGUGAGGUAAAGGCUCACCAAGGCGAAGAUCUGUAGCGGGUCUGAGAGGAUGAUCCGCCACACUGGGACUGAGACACGGCCCAGACUCCUACGGGAGGCAGCAGUGGGGAAUUUUGGACAAUGGGGGCAACCCUGAUCCAGCCAUGCCGCGUGUAUGAAGAAGGCCUUAGGGUUGUAAAGUACUUUUGUUAGGGAAGAAAAGUCAGCUGUGAAUAAUGGCUGAUACUGACGGUACCUAAAGAAUAAGCACCGGCUAACUAUGU